rnacentral:rRNA from 1 species
CGUAACACGUGGGCAACCUGCCCUGAAGCGGGGGACAACAACUUGAAAGAGUUGCUAAUACCGCAUGUGAAUCGUGGUGGCAUCACCAAGGAUUCAAAGCCGCAAGGCACUUCAGGAUGGGCCCGCGGCCUAUCAGCUUGUUGGUGGGGUAAUGGCCUACCAAGGCGACGACGGGUAGCCGGCCUGAGAGGGCGACCGGCCACACUGGGACUGAGACACGGCCCAGG